UCCAGGGUAGCCUAGUGGACAUGGCAUCUGCCCGGUAAGCGGAAGGUUGUGGGUUCGAUUCCCGCCCCAGGAC